rnacentral:lncRNA from 1 species
UGCGCCGCCGCUGCCAACCCGGAAGGAGCCCGGAGGGGCCCGGGCGGCCAGGGCGCCCCCGCCAGGAGGCCCGCCAGGUGUCCACCUGAGCCCCACGCCCUGCGCCGCGGGGCCCUUUUGGGGGCGGGGUGCCAGCUCCGAGGUGUCCUCCCACGGGCUGUAGACUGGGAAACUGAGGCCCGGGCCACGGUCCCAGACGCAGCCGGGACCCGAACCCACCUCACCUGAGCGAAUGAUAUCCGGGACUCAUCCUUUUUCGACACCUUUGCGGGAUCCAGCCCUCCAAGGAAAGCUUCCUGAGCAGUGCGCGCCACGUGUAUUGGGCACCUCACCGCGGCCACUUCACAUCCUAUCUCAGGUGGAGAAACUAAGCCACAGAAAGGAGCUGUCAUUUACCUAAAGCACCGUGGCAGGGGUUUGGCAGAGCCAGGAUUUGUACCCAGAUCGCCUGACUUCGGAGAGUAACAGCUCUUAACCACAGCACUUCGGUCUAUGCCUUGAUUUCACCAUAUGUAACAAGGGACAAGAGCUUGCCGUGUUGCCCCAGGCUGGUCUCAAACUCCUAGCCUCAAGCAAACUUCCUGUCUCGGCCUUUCAAAACCCUGAGAUUACAAGCAUAAGAAAAGAAAAUCUUGUAAGAUGAAAGCUGAAGGAUGAGAGCAAUUAAUUGAUGAAGUAUGAUGAUCCAGGUGUCCCUGGGUGAAGAAACAACCUCUACAAAGGCCCUGAGAGAUGGGGUCUCCCUAUGCUUCCCAGGCUGGUCUCGAACUCCUGGACUCAAGCAAUCCUCCUGUCUUGACCUCCCAAAGUGCUGGGAUUACAGGCGUGAGCCGCCUCACCUGGCCUAUAGAAUUUUAUACAAAUGAAAUCAUACUGGUCUCGCUCAUCACCAGGCUGGAGUACAGUGACAUGAUC